CCUACGGGAGGCAGCAGUGAGGAAUAUUGGUCAAUGGCCGGAAGGCUGAACCAGCCAUGCCGCGUGAAGGUCAGUGCCCUAUGGGCGUUAAACUUCUUUUGUGCGGGAGCAAUAAUGGUCACGUGUGGCCAGACGAGAGUACCGUACGAAUAAGCAUCGGCUAACUCCGUGCCAGCAGCCGCGGUAAUACGGGGGAUGCAAGCGUUAUCCGGAUUUAUUGGGUUUAAAGGGUGCGUAGGCUGGGAGGUAAGUCAGCGGUGAAAUGCCCCCGCUCAACGGGGUGAAGUGCCAUUGAUACUGCCUGGCUGGAAUGCGGAUGCCGUGGGAGGAAUGUGUGGUGUAGCGGUGAAAUGCAUAGAUAUCACACAGAACACCGAUUGCGAAGGCAUCUCACGAAUCCGCGAUUGACGCUGAUGCACGAAAGCGUGGGUAUCAAACAGGAUGAGAUACCCUUGUAGUC
rnacentral:rRNA from 1 species